UAAAUAAAUGCUCUGUUUCGUUAAUUAGCUUAAAAGCAGUCUCAGAGGUGGUCUAAGGUAACGUUAACUGUUAAAAUCUAAUAUAACCUUACCUGUUUUAAAUUAUUUGAAAUUUAACACGAUAAACUAUACAGUAUUCACUUUCUAAUUAUAUAUAUUUUUUAACCGUAGUAACGUUAAUUAGUUUGUUUGAAUGUCUGCUGCUCGCUCUUGAUGAUGCUCAUGCUAGCCAUGCUGUGAACUUGAAUAUAAACCGCUGUAUGAAGUUUAACGUUAAUUAGACCGAGGCUGCCGAAAUCAUGUUCAGUGUAUGUGGGAUUAAUAAUUUCCCCUUUUCUCCCUCAAGUGGCAGGCUUGUAAAUUCUGUCAUCUGUUCAUUAUUGGUGUUGAUGGUGUUUUUCACAUGCAUGCUUUUUAAUGCUAGUUUAAUUCUCAAAUUGAUCUGAUACUUUCGUUUCACAAAAAGUAAACAAAUUGUUUACUUUUUUAGGGCCUGGCUGCCACCAGUUGAGUCAAUGAUUCAGUGAAGAGACAGUUUGCGCAGCAGCAACAAGACAACUAUUACAAGUAGAGAUGGGUUUCAAGAACUGGUACUAAUUUGGUUCCUGACUUGUUCGACACAACCACAUAUCAUGCAAAUCAUCUCCGAGUGGAUGGCAGCAAGGAUCCAGGAUCAAGAGAUCAUUCAUCAUGGAGACUGUUCCACAGGAAGCAGUUUAUCCUGGGCGAAAAACUAAACCUGGUUGUUUCAGCAUCACUCAGGCUAGACUAAAUACAUUUAAAUUGAUUUCAGUUGGUUAUGUGUUUCAGGUCAUCCUGACCAUUCUGCUGUCCUGGAUGUAAGGCCGUGCUGGAACUACAUUUCUCAUUGGUGAAAGAUUUGUGCAGCGGUAUCCAGACAUAUAACGCCCCAUUCACACGGGGAGUCAACGCCUCUCGUUUACUUUUAAAUGGAGUGACGUCAAGCAUGGUGAAAUUAAUUCUGGGUCCGUUGGUCGUGGCAGAAGUUGAAAACUUUUCAAGCGCCAAUGCAGCCGUCCUCCAAUCAGAACGUCUUAUGCAAAUACCCUAGCGCAGACGCAAGCCAAUCGAGUGCAUGCAAUACCAGAAAACUAAUGUGAUUGGCUGUCACUAUGAGAAGAGACAGUAAUUCCGAUCCGAUAUCAGUGUCGUUUUUUGCA